AUUGAACGCUGGCGGCAGGCCUAACACAUGCAAGUCGAACGGUAACAGGAAUCAGCUUGCUGAUUCGCUGACGAGUGGCGGACGGGUGAGUAAUGUCUGGGAAACUGCCUGAUGGAGGGGGAUAACUACUGGAAACGGUAGCUAAUACCGCAUAACGUCGCAAGACCAAAGAGGGGGACCUUCGGGCCUCUUGCCAUCGGAUGUGCCCAGAUGGGAUUAGCUAGUAGGUGGGGUAACGGCUCACCUAGGCGACGAUCCCUAGCUGGUCUGAGAGGAUGGCCAGCCACACUGGAACUGAGACACGGUCCAGACUCCUACGGGAGGCAGCAGUGGGGAAUAUUGCACAAUGGGCGCAAGCCUGAUGCAGCCAUGCCGCGUGUAUGAAGAAGGCCUUCGGGUUGUAAAGUACUUUCAGCGAGGAGGAAGGUGUUGAGGUUAAUAACCUCAGCAAUUGACGUUACUCGCAGAAGAAGCACCGGCUAACUCCGUGCCAGCAGCCGCAGUAAAAC
rnacentral:rRNA from 1 species